GCCUAACACAUGCAAGUCGAACGGUCUUGGCGCCUUCGGGCGCGAAUAGAGUGGCGAACGGGUGAGUAACGCGUGGCCAACCUGCCCCCUCCUCCGGGACUCCUCGGGAAACCGAGGCUAAUACCGGAUGCUCCGGGCCCCCCGCAUGGGGGGCCCGGGAAAGCCCAGGCGGGAGGGGAUGGCUCCGCGGCCCAUCAGGUAGACGGCGGGGUGACGGCCCACCGUGCCGACGACGGGUAGCCGGGUUGAGAGACCGACCGGCCAGAUUGGGACUGAGACACGGCCCAGACUCCUACGGGAGGCAGCAGUGGGGAAUCUUGCGCAAUGGGGGGAACCCUGACGCAGCGACGCCGCGUGCGGGACGAAGGCCCUCGGGUCGUAAACCGCUUUCAGCAGGGAUGAGACAAGACGGUACCUGCAGAAGAAGCCCCGGCUAACUACGUGCCAGCAGCCGCGGUAAUACGUAGGGGGCGAGCGUUAUCCGGAUUCAUUGGGCGUAAAGCGCGCGUAGGCGGCCCGGCAGGCAGGGGGUCAAAUGGCGGGGCUCAACCCCGUCCCGCCCCCUGAACCGCCGGGCUCGGGUCCGGUAGGGGAGGGUGGAACACCCGGUGUAGCGGUGGAAUGCGCAGAUAUCGGGUGGAACACCGGUGGCGAAGGCGGCCCUCUGGGCCGAGACCGACGCUGAGGCGCGAAAGCUGGGGGAGCGAACAGGAUUAGAUACCCUGGUAGUCCCAGCCGUAAACGAUGGACGCUAGGUGUGGGGGGACGAUCCCUCCGUGCCGCAGCCAACGCAUUAAGCGUCCCGCCUGGGGAGUACGGCCGCAAGGCUAAAACUCAAAGGAAUUGACGGGGACCCGCACAAGCGGUGGAGCAUGUGGUUUAAUUCGAAGCAACGCGAAGAACCUUACCUGGUCUUGACAUCCCUCUGACCGCUCUUUAAUCGGAGCUUUCCUUCGGGACAGAGGAGACAGGUGGUGCAUGGUUGUCGUCAGCUCGUGUCGUGAGAUGUUGGGUUAAGUCCCGCAACGAGCGCAACCCUUAUCCUUAGUAGCCAGCGGUUCGGCCGGGCACUCUGGGGAGACUGCCAGGGAUAACCUGGAGGAAGGUGGGGAUGACGUCAAAUCAUCAUGCCCCUUAUGAUUUGGGCUACACACGUGCUACAAUGGCGUAAAUAAAGGGAAGCGAUCACGUGAGUGUAAGCAAAUAUCAAAAAUAACGUCCCAGUUCGGACUGUAGUCUGCAACCCGACUACACGAAGCUGGAAUCGCUAGUAA
rnacentral:rRNA from 1 species